GACGAACGCUGGCGGCGUGCCUAAUACAUGCAAGUUGAGCGCUGAAGGUUGGUACUUGUACCAACUGGAUGAGCAGCGAACGGGUGAGUAACGCGUGGGGAAUCUGCCUUUGAGCGGGGGACAACAUUUGGAAACGAAUGCUAAUACCGCAUAAAAACUUUAAACACAAGUUUUAAGUUUGAAAGAUGCAAUUGCAUCACUCAAAGAUGAUCCCGCGUUGUAUUAGCUAGUUGGUGAGGUAAAGGCUCACCAAGGCGAUGAUACAUAGCCGACCUGAGAGGGUGAUCGGCCACAUUGGGACUGAGACACGGCCCAAACUCCUACGGGAGGCAGCAGUAGGGAAUCUUCGGCAAUGGACGAAAGUCUGACCGAGCAACGCCGCGGGAGUGAAGAAGGUUGUCGGAUCGUAAAACUCUGUUGGUAGAGAAGAACGUUGGUGAGAGUGGAAAGCUCAUCAAGUGACGGUAACUACCCAGAAAGGGGCGGCUAACUACGUG
rnacentral:rRNA from 1 species